ACCCUUGAAGAUGAAGAUAUGGUCUCCUACAUCCUCGCAGGCCUCAAGAACGACUCCUACACCGGGCUAGUCGCCGCCAUCCUCGCGAGAACCGAGCUGAUCACGGUGAGCGAACUUUAUUCGCAGCUCCUGUCUUAUGA